rnacentral:tRNA from 1 species
GCGAGAGUGGUGGAACGGCAGACACGCCAGACUUAGGAUCUGGUGCCUUUAGGCGUAAGGGUUCAAGUCCCUUCUCUCGCA